UGGAAGCGUCUGGAAAGGCGUGCGAUACAGGGUGACAGCCCCGUACACAAAAAUGCACAUAUUGUGAGCUCGAUGAGUAGGGCGGGACACGUGGUAUCCUGUCUGAAUAUGGGGGGACCAUCCUCCAAGGCUAAAUACUCCUGACUGACCGAUAGUGAACCAGUACCGUGAGGGAAAGGCGAAAAGAACCCCGGCGAGGGGAGUGAAAAAGAACCUGAAACCGUGUACGUACAAGCAGUGGGAGCCUCUUAAUGGGGUGACUGCGUACCUUUUGUAUAAUGGGUCAGCGACUUAUAUUCUGUAGCAAGGUUAACCGAAUAGGGGAGCCGAAGGGAAACCGAGUCUUAACUGGGCGUUAAGUUGCAGGGUAUAGACCCGAAACCCGGUGAUCUAGCCAUGGGCAGGUUGAAGGUUGGGUAACACUAACUGGAGGACCGAACCGACUAAUGUUGAAAAAUUAGCGGAUGACUUGUGGCUGGGGGUGAAAGGCCAAUCAAACCGGGAGAUAGCUGGUUCUCCCCGAAAGCUAUUUAGGUAGCGCCUCGUGAAUUCAUCUCCGGGGGUAGAGCACUGUUUCGGCAAGGGGGUCAUCCCGACUUACCAACCCGAUGCAAACUGCGAAUACCGGAGAAUGUUAUCACGGGAGACACACGGCGGGUGCUAACGUCCGUCGUGAAGAGGGAAACAACCCAGACCGCCAGCUAAGGUCCCAAAGUCAUGGUUAAGUGGGAAACGAUGUGGGAAGGCCCAGACAGCCAGGAUGUUGGCUUAGAAGCAGCCAUCAUUUAAAGAAAGCGUAAUAGCUCACUGGUCGAGUCGGCCUGCGCGGAAGAUGUAACGGGGCUAAACCAUG
rnacentral:rRNA from 1 species